rnacentral:tRNA from 3 species
GGGGGAUAUGGCGAAAUUGGUAGACGCUACGGACUUAGAAAAUCCGUCGACUUUAGAAAUCGUGAGGGUUCAAGUCCCUCUAUCCCCA